ACGUACGAGUUGGGUUACAUAUGGACUUGGUGUUGUAGUGUGGGUAGGAUACAUGUAAUGUCGUAGUCGGACACGUCGUAACCUUGGUCUCUUAUAUAUGAAGAGGCACCCCACGUUGUAACCUAUGACGACUAGAUAGCGACAGGCUCGCAAGGUGGAGCCGACAGCUUGUGCCGGCGCCCGGGUGGCCGGUGUUGCAGUAUCCUGGGGAGAAGCGCCCGUAGUGAUUGCCCCGCGGAGUAGGCGAGUUCGCCGAACCUCGUUAACAAAUCUUGAUGUCGUCAUCGUGGUGUGAUUGCUUAAUCCUCNNN
rnacentral:lncRNA from 1 species